rnacentral:rRNA from 2 species
UCCGGUUGAUCCUGCCGGAGGCUACUGCUAUCGGAGUCCGAUUUAGCCAUGCUAGUCCACCGAUUCGUUCGGGGCGGAUAGCUGAGUAACACGUGGCUAACCUACCCUGUGGAUGGGGACAAUCUCGGGAAACUGAGGCUAAUACCCAAUAACAAAUAGAUACUGGAAACGUUCUAUUUGUGAAAUGUUCUGACGCCACAGGAUGGGGCCGCGGCUGAUUAGGUAGUUGGUGAGGUAAUAGCUCACCAAGCCAGUAAUCAGUAGCAGCCGUGAGAGCGGGAGCUGUCAGUCGUGUUCUGAGACAAGAACACGGACCCUACGGGGUGCAGCAGGCACGAAACCUUUACAAUGCACGAAAGUGCGAUAAGGGGACUCCGAGUGCAGUUUUCCUACACGGAAGGCUGCUUUUCUGCACUGUAAGAAGGUGCCGGAACAAGGGGUGGGCAAGACUGCUGCCAGCCGCCGCGGUAAUAGCAGCACCCCAAGUGGUAGUCGGUAUUAUUGGGCUUAAAGUGUCCGUAGCCGGCCAUGUAAGUCCGCUGUGAAAUCCACGCGCUCAACGUGUGGAAGCGCACCGGAUACUGCAUGGCUAGGAACAGGACGGCGUCGAGGCUAUUCCAGGGGUAGGAGUGAAAUCCUAAAAUCCCUGGAGGAGCACCUGUGGUGAAAACGCUCGACGAGUACUGAUUCGACGGUGAGGGACGAAAGCUAGGGGAGCAAAGAGGAUUAGAUACCCUCGUAGUCCUAGCUGUAAACAUUGCUCGUUUGAUGUCGGCUAACCUCCGUGGUUAGCCGGUGCCGAAGUGAAAACGUUAAACGAGCCGCCUGGGUAGUACGGUCGCAAGGCUGAAACUUAAAGGAAUUGACGGGGGAGCACCACAACCGGUGGGGGCUGCGGUUUAAUUAGAUCAAACGCAGCACACCCUACCAGAGCCGACAGCAGAAUGACGGUCAGCUUGAAGAGCUUACCUGACGCGCUGAGAGGAGCUGCAUGGCCGCCGUCAGCUCGUGCCGUGAGGUGUCCGGUUAAGUCCGGUAACGAGCGAG